rnacentral:rRNA from 1 species
AUGUGGUCAAGCUAGAUAAGGGUGCAUGGUGGAUGCCUAGGCGUCCACAGGCGAAGAAAGACGUGGCAGCCUGCGAUAAGCUCCGGGGAGUUGGCAAACAAGCGUUGAUCCGGAGAUGUCUGAAUGGGGAAACCCCGCGUCGCUGAACAGGCGGCGUGACCGCGGCAUGAAUGCAUAGUGUCGUGGAGCCUACCCAGGGAACUGAAACAUCUCAGUACCUGGAGGAAAGGAAAUCAACCGAGACUCCGUCAGUAGCGGCGAGCGAACGCGGACAUAGCCCAAACCAGUCUUCGGACUGGGGUUGCGGGGCCUCGAGGAGUUACAAAAGCGCGAUCAGCGGAACAGUCUGGAAAGGCUGACAACAUAGGGUGACAGUCCCGUACGCGACGAUCGAUGCUCUCCGUUGAGAGGAUUCCCAGAGUAGCGCGGAUGCCGUGAAACUCCGCGUGAAGCCGGGGGGCCCACCCUCCAAGGCUAAGUACUCGUGGACGACCGAUAGAGAACAAGUAAGGCGACUGAAAGGUGAAAAGAACCGCAAUAAGCGGAGUAAAAAGAACCUGAAACCAUGCAUCUACAAGCAGUCAGAGACCUAUACCCCGCAAGGGGAAUGGUCGAUGGCGUACCUUUUGCAUAAUGGACCGGCGAGUUACUCCUCUGUGGCAAGGCUAAACCGCGCACGCGGUGGAGCCGUAGCGAAAGCGAGUCUGAAUAGGGCGAAUGAGUCGCAGGGGGUAGACCCGAAACUGCGUGAUCUACCCAUGGGCAGAAUGAAGCGCCCCUAACCGGGCGCGGAGGUUCGAAGCCGUGAACGUUGAAAAGUUCUGGCAUGACCUGUGGGGAGGAGUAAAAGUCUAAUCAAACGCAGAGAUAGCUGGUUCUCCCCGAAAACGCUUGAGGGCGUGUCUUGGGAAACUACAUCACGGGGGUAGAGCUACUGAAUGGAUCGUGGGGCCCACCAGGCUACCGCCUCCAAUCAAACUCCGAAUACCGUGAUGACUAUCCCGGGAAAAAGACUGUGGGUGAUAAUGUCCACGGUCAAAAGGGAAACAACCCAGACCGUCAGCUAAGGUCCCGAAUGAUGUCUAAGUGCGUAAGGAAGUUGGAUUUCACAGACAGCGGGGAUGUUGGCUUAGAAGCAGCCACCAUUUAAAAAGUGCGUAAUAGCUUACCCGUCGAGAAAUCCGGCACCGAUAAUGAACGGGACUAAGACAUCAACCGAAGCUGCGGCUGCAUAAAGGCGCGAGUCUUUAUGCGGGGUAGGGGAGCGCUGAUAGGCAGAUACAAGGCGUACCGUGAGGAGCGCUGCUGGGCCUAUCAGGUGAGUAUGCCGGUUUGAGUAACGAUAAUGAGGGUGAAAAUCCCUCACGCCGUAAGCCUAAGGUUUCCUGGGGAAGGUAAAUCCGCCCAGGGUUAGUCGGACCCUAAGGCCAGGCCGAAAGGCGUAGCCGAUGGACAGCAGGUUAAUAUUCCUGCACUCCGUGCAAAGGUCGAAGCGUGCGUGCGUUUGGUCGAUCCACAGCCCACGAUUAGGUUCGAGGGUGCCCGAGAGGGCGAGGCCGAUUUGUUGCUGAAGUGUGGUUAGACGGAACCGAGAAAAGCGUACGUGGACGAUGUACGGACCCGUACUAAAACUGACACAGGUAGGCGAGGAGAGUAUCCUCAGGCGCUCGAGAGAACGGUCCUUAAGGAACUAGGCAAAUUAACCCCGUAACUCCGGGAGAAGGGGUCCCUUCUGCUUGUAGCAAUACGCGCAGAGGGCGCAGAGAAACGGCAGCGGCGACUGUUUAUCAAAAACACAGGUCUCUGCAAACUCGCAAGAGGACGUAUAGAGACUGACGCCUGCUCGGUGCGGGAAUGUUAAGGAAGGCGGUCAAGGGGUUCGCCCCUGAAGCUGGCGACCGAAGCACCCGUAAACGGCGGCCCUAACUAUGAGGGUCCUAAGGUAGCGAAGUUCCUUGUCGGGUAAGUUCCGACGCGCAUGAAUGGCGAAACGACUGCUGCACUGUCUCAAGGACCGACUCGGUGAAAUAGGACUUGUGGUGAAGAUACCACAUACCCGCGGCAAGACGGAAAGACCCCGUGAACCUUUACUGUAGCCUGAUAGUGGAGCCGGUUAACACAUGCGUAGGAUAGGUGGGAGGCUUUGAUCCAGCGGUUUCGGCUGCUGGGGAGCCGUCGUUGAAAUACCACCCUUGUAUUAUUCGUCUCCUCACCUCGACCCGUGAAGCCGGGCGGGGGACAUUGUUAGGUGGGCAGUUUGACUGGGGCGGUCUCCUCCCAAAAAGUACCGGAGGAGUGCAAUGGUCGGCUCAGCACGGUUGGCAAUCGUGCGCAGAGCGCAAGGGUAUAAGCCGGCUUAACUGCGAGUCAGACAUGACCAGCAGAUGCGAAAGCAGGCCCUAGUGAUCCGGUAGUCCCGUGUGGAAGGGCUAUCGCUCAUCGGACAAAAGGUACUCCGGGGAUAACAGGCUGAUCUCCACCGAGCGUCCAUAGCGGCGUGGAGGUUUGGCACCUCGAUGUCGGCCCAUCGCAUCCUGGGGCUGAAGGCGGUCCCAAGGGUUCGGCUGUUCGCCGAUUAAAGCGGUACGCGAGCUGGGUUCAGACCGGCGUGAGCCAGGUCGGUCCCUAUCUGUCGUGGGCGCACCAGAUUUGACGGGAGACAACCUUAGUACGAGAGGAUUGGGUUGUAGCAACCCCUAGUGCACCAGUUGUCCUGCUAAGGGCACCGCUGGGUAGCUACGUUGCGAAAGGAUAAACGCUGAAAGCAUCUAAGCGUGAAGCCCCCCCGAAGAUGAGAUCUGGAUGUCUCUUCGGAGACGAGAGACCCCUCGUAGACCACGAGGUUGAUAGGCCGGGCGUGUAAGGCCAGAGAUGGCUUCAGCUAACCGGUACUAAUGGUCGAUUGCUUGAUCAC